CAGUAGCCGCGGUAACACGGAGGGAGCUAACGUUGUUCGGAAUUACUGGGCGUAAAGCGCGCGUAGGCGGUUACUCAAGUCAGAGGUGAAAGCCUGGAGCUCAACUCCAGAAUUGCCUUUAAGACUGCAUCGCUUGAAUCCAGGAGAGGUGAGUGGAAUUCCGAGUGUAGAGGUGAAAUUCGUAGAUAUUCGGAAGAACACCAGUGGCGAAGGCGGCUCACUGGACUGGUAUUGACGCUGAGGUGCGAAAGCGUGGGGAGCAAACAGGAUUAGAUACCCCGGUAGUCCCUGUCUCUUAUAC
rnacentral:rRNA from 1 species